rnacentral:lncRNA from 1 species
UUUCUCUCUACUGAUACUUCAUUAAAAUUAAAUUCAAAAGUAAAUGAUACUUCAUUAAAAUUAAAUUCGUAUUCAACCAGGAAAGAAAGAAGACGCAAAAACAGAGAAGCAAUCAUCUGUUCUUUGAGGUGCCAUUUUUAUUCUUCGAAGAAUCCCGAUGCACCUUAUAAUUCAUCGGUAAGAGCUCAUCUAUUUAUCAAUAUUUUCUUUUAAAUUUUCCUGCAAAGUCUUCGUUGUCAUGAAUAGAAACCCUAUACAUCCUUUCUACAAUAGUUCUUUAUUCACUCUAUCUAUGAUAUAUGAGAAUUUGGGUUAUUAGCCAUGAGGCAGUUCAAUGGUAGUCGCAGAAUUCGUGGAUUCAUCAGCGAAUUAUGUACCCUGGUCAUAGUUUUCUUGUUUUACAACCGGGGAGAUAUUACGAGGAACCCAGUGCUUAGGCAAUCAAACCUAAUUUCGGGCAGCGGGUUUUGUGGUGGGUCAAAUCAUAGGUCAGUAAUUCACCAUCAUCUACAUCCACUAGUACAACCACUACCCAAUUCAUAAUAAGCCGAAUUUUCGCUUACCUGUGCAGCCCAAAAAGACUCAUGGCUAGAGGCGGAGAAUAGAUCUAUAUGACCUAGAACUAUCAUCGAGGCUAGAGAGUAGCAAAGAAUGAUGAUGAUUCAGAUCUAUGACUAGCGCUAGAGAGAGGCGAAGAAGAGAUGGCCAAGAUCUACAAAUGAUUUUGGGUUUAUGGAUAGUUUUGUUUUUGAAAAUUUAAUGUAUAUAGAUGAUUUUGUUUGGUGAUAUUUUAUUUGGGGAGAAGAUGAUGAACAAUGGGUUGUGAUUUAUUUUGAUAUUAUCUUUAAUUUAUUAUAUUAUUGAAUAGAAAUUAUUGGAAUGUUUGGGUCGGG